GUUGCUGUUUUCAAAGUUUGUCAUUCAUUCUUAAAAACCGGCGGUGUUGCUGUUUACAAUAGCUGCAAAUGCUGGUUUUGAUGGUUCUUUAAUUUACAGCAAAUUGUUGGAACAAGAUAAUCUUAAUUUGGGUUUCGAUGCUGCUAAAGGAACUUAUGUUGAUAUGGUGAAGGCUGGGAUUAUAGAUCCUGUUAAAGUUGUUAGAACAGCUUUGGUAGAUGCUGCCAGUGUAUCGUUGUUACUGACGACAACCGAGGCAUCUAUUGUAGAAAAUAUGAGUGAUAAAAACAAACCUCCUCAAAGGGUGGCAGAUAUGGAUGAUUUGGACUACUAACUUUUCUUAAAU